rnacentral:lncRNA from 1 species
UGUAAACCCAGUGCAGUUUCCACCACACCAUGUGGGCAGAGGAGUUUGUUUCUGGAAAUAAGUAUAAGCUUUUUCAGGCUCAUCCUGGUAGAAGAAAAGGCUGAAAAUGAUAUCUCCAAUUUAUUACUGCAUUUGUCUGGGGGCACUUUUCUGAUUGAAAUGACACUAAAUCCACUGGGAAGUAGAAGCUGUGGGCUUCACGAGGAUGCAACCCACACAGCUGUGAUCAAACCUUUGAUCUGUUACCACGACUGUCAAAAUAAACUGAUAUGAAAUAUGAAAAAAAGAGAGUUCUUAUUUUUAACUGCCAGAU